UACAGAGGUCUCAAGCGUUGUUCGGAUUCAUUGGGCGUAAAGGGUGCGUAGGCGGCGCGGUAAGUCGGGUGUGAAAGUCUCGGAGCUUAACUCCGAAACUGCAUUCGAUACUGCCGUGCUUGAGGACUUGGAGAGGAGACUGGAAUUUACGGUGUAGCGGUGAAAUGCGUAGAUAUCGUAAGGAAGACAGUGGCGAAGGCGGGUCUCUGGACAGUUCCUGACACUGGAGGCACGAAGGCCAGGGGAGCGAAACGGG
rnacentral:rRNA from 1 species